UGGAGGACCAUUAGAGGAAGACAUGCUCAAGUUGAUACAAAGAUAAUCAAGAAUUGUCAUGCAAAAUUCAUGACUACAGGAUUUGUAGCUGAUACUUGAAGUGGUCGUCCUUCCAAUUCAUCAAGGUCCGCAUGACUGGCUGGCCAGAAGCCCUGAUUUAACACCCUGCGACUGUUUCCUUUGGGGUUGAUUAAAGGAGGAAGUCUUCUCGACCAAACCAAUGACUUUGGAAGAACUUGAAGGGUGAAUACGAGAAGUUCACGUAAUUCUGGA